AUUGAACGCUGGCGGCAGGCCUCACACAUGCAAGUCGAGCGGAGCGGCGGACGGGUGAGUAAUGCCUAGGAAUCUGCCUGGUCGUGGGGGAUAACGUCCGGAAACGGGCGCUAAUACCGCAUACUAUCAGAUGAGCCUAGGUCGUAUUAGAGAGUUGGUGGGGUAAAGGCCUACCAAGGCGACGAUCCGUAACUGGUCGGAGAGGAUGAUCAGUAACACUGGAACAGAGACACGGUCCAGACUCCUACGCGAGGAAGCAGUUGGGAAUAUUGGACAAUGGGCGAAAGCCUGAUCCAGCCAUGCCGCGUGUGUGAAGAAGGUCUUCGGAUUGGAAAGCACUUUAAGUUGGGAGGCGUUACCAACAGAAUAAGCACCGGCUAACUUCGUGCCAGCAGCCGCGGUAAUUC
rnacentral:rRNA from 1 species